rnacentral:rRNA from 1 species
CGUAGCCGCGGGAAUACGGAGGGUGCAAGCGUUAAUCGGAAUUACUGGGCGUAAAGCGCACGCAGGCGGUCUGUCAAGUCGGAUGUGAAAUCCCCGGGCUCAACCUGGGAACUGCAUUCGAAACUGGCAGGCUAGAGUCUUGUAGAGGGGGGUAGAAUUCCAGGUGUAGCGGUGAAAUGCGUAGAGAUCUGGAGGAAUACCGGUGGCGAAGGCGGCCCCCUGGACAAAGACUGACGCUCAGGUGCGAAAGCGUGGGGAGCAAACAGGAUUAGAGACCCCUGUAGUCCCUGUCUCUUAUACA